AUAGUACUCCCUUCGUCUUAAAAUUCUUGUAUUAAAUUUAUUUAAAUAUAGAUAUAUCAAGUCACGUUUUAGUAUUAGAUGCAUCCAUAUCUAGAUUAAUCUAAGACAAAAUUUUUGGAACGGAGAGAAUAGCAA
rfam:Triticum aestivum genome assembly, contig: Triticum_aestivum_CS42_TGACv1_scaffold_376250_5AL